AAGACAAAUCCAACUUAAAGACGGCUCUUGGAGAGGGUGGGAAGGGAUGGCUCCCUGCUCUACCCAGGGCACACAACAGGAGACCCUCCUCUCCUCUCCAUAGCUCCCUUCUGAUGCUGCCACUGUGUGACAUUCCAGGCCUGGAGCCCUCUUCCUGGGAUGACCAAACCAAAACCCUUUGGGACUUCAUUCAAGCAAACACUUCUAGAGGGCUGCGUCCAGACACCUUGGGAUUAAAUUCUUUGCUAGAAUGUAGAAGAAGGUCUUCCUACUCAUUCCUUUAUGAGACAAGAGCCAAUAAACAGUUUUGGUGGAGUCCUUGUUAUUUUCCCCAUGUACAUGGGCAUGAAUGCACGCGUGCAAAUACACACUUUGUCUCAUC